AGGUUCGUAAAAGAGUUAAAAAAAGAGGUCGUAAAAGAGUUCAAAAAAGAGGUCGUAAAAGAGUUCAAAAAGAUGUUCGUAAAAGAGUUAAAAAGAGGUUCGUAAAAGAGUUCAAAAAGAGGUUCGUAAAAGAGUUAAAAAAAGAGGUCGUAAAAGAGUUCAAAAAAAGGUUCGUAAAAGAGUUAAAAAAAGAGGUGUCUGGAACUUGGGCAGAUCCUGCCUUCUCUCCGCGUUGUAGUCCUUGGGCUAAAACAAUAUAUUUCUGUUGAUUACAAUACAUGAAAGAAACAGAACACCUUCAUGUUGCUUCCCCCCCUACACAGUGGAGUUUUACAAGCCUUCUUCUCGGUAGGCUCAAAGACAGCUUUUGACUUCUCGCCGUGAACUCAUUUCAGUAUUGCGAUAACUUAAAAACAAUUAUUCUGACAUGAGGGAAUUCAGGACUAAGGAGCGACAUCGUACCAGGACUGGCGAGGUGAAGCAGGCGCGUGAACGUGAGGAGUUCAGGAGACAAGGCCAAGCUGUCAGUGACGAGCCUGAAUACUAGCGGGCUAAUUAGUAGCAGGUGUGCGUCAAGGCCCGCCACUCGCCGAGGACUAAUGAACUGAAGACACAGGUGCAGACAUCACAACAAGGGAAAGGCAGGAUAAUAAUAAAACACAACACUGUUGUCACCAUCCCACAUGACGGGUCUGGACUCCUGUGUUUCCCCUCGGGUUGUACGGUAUACCGCUACUAAUAAGGUACCGUGGUACUGAUGAAUUAAAAACAGUAUUAUACCGUAUUUUUCGGACUAUAAAGCGUACUUAAAAUCCUUUAAUUUUCUCAAAAAUGGACAGUGCGCCUUAUAACUCGGUGCGCCUAAUGUACCGAAUAAUUCUGGUUGUGCUUACCGACCUUGAAGCUAUUUUAUUUGGUACAUGGUGUAACGACAAGUGUGACCAGUAUAUGGUAGUCACACAUAAGAGAUACGCGUGGACUGCAAUAUGACGCCAGGAAACAACACCAAAACUUUAAAUGUUCCAUUGAGAAUAUAGAACAUUACACACGGCGCUCAAAAAUCUGUCAAAAUGUUUUUAGUACGACUUUGGUAAGCUAUGACGCCGCACCGCUUGAUGGAUUGUCAGAGCAUUAAACAUAGGAGUAUUACUAUGGUGUGUGUACAAAGACCGCAAAAUGGCACCCAUUAGCAGACAUAUUAUCUGACGUUUUGUUUCGCAAUAUUAUGCCCAACCAACGUUUCUUACCAUCUGGUACCUGCUGAUGUGUAUUUGGCAUCUGCAUAAGUCCUGAAAAUGUGCGUGCGUCCACCGUUGUAGUCCGACUACCCGACUACGUAGUCAAUAAGCUUCUUCUUUUUCUCUAUCUUCUUGUUAUGUGACAUUCAUCCUCCGCUGUUGCCAUUUCUAAUAUAAAGUAGUGCAAAGUUCUUACUUCUAUAUGUCAGUAAACUCGCCAUGAAAGCACUAAAACAUACCGGUGUAGUGAGUUUACAUUAUUCACCCAAGGACCUUUUAGUUAUUAGAGUUCCGGUCAGACGGUUUUUC